rnacentral:rRNA from 1 species
AGGGAAUCUUCCGCAAUGGACGAAAGUCUGACGGAGCAACGCCGCGUGAGUGAAGAAGGUCUUCGGAUCGUAAAACUCUGUUGUUAGGGAAGAACAAGUAUCGUUCGAAUAGGGCGGUACCUUGACGGUACCUAACCAGAAAGCCACGGCUAACUACGUGCCAGCAGCCGCGGUAAUACGUAGGUGGCAAGCGUUGUCCGGAAUUAUUGGGCGUAAAGCGCGCGCAGGCGGUUUCUUAAGUCUGAGGGGAAAGCCCCCGGCUCAACCGGGGAGGGUCAUUGGAAACUGGGGAACUUGAGUGCAGAAGAGGAGAGUGGAAUUCCACGUGUAGCGGUGAAAUGCGUAGAGAUGUGGAGGAACACCAGUGGCGAAGGCGACUCUCUGGUCUGUAACUGACGCUGAGGCGCGAAAGCGUGGGGAGCGAAC